AUCGAACGCUGGCGGCAGGCCUAACACAUGCAAGUCGAGCGAGCGGCGGACGGGUGAGUAAUGUAUUGAGAUCUGCCCGAUAGAGGGGGAUAACUACUGGAAACGGUGGCUAAUACCGCAUACUAUCGGAUGAACCCAUAUGGGAUUAGCUAGUAGGUGGGGUAACGGCUCACCUAGGCGACGAUCUUUAGCUGGUCUGAGAGGAUGAUCGGCCACACUGGGACUGAGACACGGCCCAGACUCCUACGGGAGGCAGCAGUAGGGAAUAUUGGACAAUGGGCGCAAGCCUGACGCAGCCAUGCCGCGUGUAUGAAGAAGGCCUUCGGGUUGUAAAGUUCUUUCAGCAGGGAGGCGUUACCCGCAGAAGAAGCACCGGCUAACUCCGUGCCAGCCGCCGCGGUAAUAC
rnacentral:rRNA from 1 species